AGCGGGGUGAUCUACCCAUGGCCAGUGUGAAGCAGCAGUAAGAUGCUGUGGAGGCGCGAACCCACGUAGGUUGAAAACUGCGGGGAUGAGCUGUGGGUAGGGGUGAAAGGCCAAUCAAACUCCGUGAUAGCUGGUUCUCCCCGAAAUGCAUUUAGGUGCAGCGUCGCAUUAGCUUGGUGGAGGUAGAGCUACUGGUUGGUUGAGCGGGACUACAAUCUUAGCAAUGUCAGCCAAACUCCGAAUGCCAUUAAUGUGUUGUGCGGCAGUGAGACUGUGGGGGAUAAGCUUCAUAGUCGAGAGGGAAACAGCCCAGAUCGCCGGUUAAGGCCCCUAAGGGUGUGCUAAGUGGAAAAGGAUGUGGGAUCGCGAAGACAGCCAGGAGGUUGGCUUAGAAGCAGCCAUCCUUGAAAGAGUGCGUAAUAGCUCACUGGUCGAGUGGUUCUGCGCCGACAAUGUAGUGGGGCUCAAGCACACCGCCGAAGCCGCGGCAAUAAUAUUUUGUUAUUGGGUAGGGGAGCGUCGUGCACGUGUUGAAGCGUUACCGUGAGGAGGCGUGGAGUGUGUGCGAGUGAGAAUGCAGGCAUGAGUAACGAAUUGGAAGGUGAGAAUCCUUCCCGCCGGAUGACUAAGGGUUCCUGGGUCAAGUUCGUCUUCCCAGGGUGAGUCGGGACCUAAGGCGAGGCCGACAGGCGUAGUCGAUGGAUAACCAGUUGAUAUUCUGGUACCCGAGUAUAUGCGCCCCUGAUAAAGCACUGAUACUAACCACCGUAAGCUGUUGUGAUUGGCCUUCGGGUUAACAUGGUGGCAAGCCGUGGGGCCUGAUGUGUGGUUCAAGCGAUGGGGUGACACAGUGGGGUAGCCAUGCCGCUUAGUGGAUUGUUGGUGUAAGCGUGUAGGUGAUGGUGUAGGUAAAUCCGCACUUGUUAGCUGAGACGUGAUGCGUAGCCUUAAUUGGUGAAGUUGGUGAUCCCGUGCUGUCGAGAAAAGCCUCUAGCGAUGUAUAUACUCGGCCCGUACCCCAAACCGACACAGGUAGUCAGGUUGAAAAUACUAAGGCGUUCGGGUGAACUGUGGUUAAGGAACUCGGCAAAAUGCCCCCGUAACUUCGGGAGAAGGGGGACCCUAUGGCGUGAACACCCAUUUGCGGUGGGAAGCGUUGUGGGGUCGCAGAGAAUAGAGGGAAGCGACUGUUUAUCAAAAACACAGGUCCAUGCGAAGACGUUAAGUUGAUGUAUAUGGACUGACGCCUGCCCGGUGCUGGAAGGUUAAGAGGACCGGUUAAUCAAGCUUUGCUUGGUGAAGCUGAGAAUUUAAGCCCCAGUAAACGGCGGUGGUAACUAUAACCAUCCUAAGGUAGCGAAAUUCCUUGUCGGGUAAGUUCCGACCUGCACGAAUGGCGUAACGACUUCCCUGCUGUCUCAACCACAGGCCCGGUGAAAUUGCACUACGAGUAAAGAUGCUCGUUACGCGCGGCAGGACGAAAAGACCCCGGGACCUUCACUAUAGCUUGGUAUUGGUGUUCGGUUCGGUUUGUGUAGGAUAGGUGGGAGACUAUGAAACAUGCACGCCAGUGUGUGUGGAGUCGUUGUUGAAAUACCACUCUGAUCGGAUUGGAUACCUUAACCUUGGCCCAUGAUCUGGGUUGGGGACAGUGCCUGGUGGGUAGUUUAACUGGGGCGGUUGCCUCCCAAAAUGUAACGGAGGCGCCCAAAGGUUCCCUCAGCCUGGUUGGCAAUCAGGUGGUGAGUGUAAGUGCACAAGGGAGCUUGACUGUGAGAGUGACAGCUCGAACAGGGACGAAAGUCGGGACUAGUGAUCCGGCACCUACUUGUGGAUGUGGUGUCGCUCAACGGAUAAAAGGUACCCCGGGGAUAACAGGCUGAUCUUCCCCAAGAGUCCAUAUCGACGGGAUGGUUUGGCACCUCGAUGUCGGCUCGUCGCAUCCUGGGGCUGGAGUAGGUCCCAAGGGUUGGGCUGUUCGCCCAUUAAAGCGGCACGCGAGCUGGGUUCAGAACGUCGUGAGACAGUUCGGUCUCUAUCCGCCG
rnacentral:rRNA from 1 species